rnacentral:rRNA from 1 species
AACGAACGCUGGCGGCAUGCCUAACACAUGCAAGUCGAACGAGACCUUCGGGUCUAGUGGCGCACGGGUGCGUAACGCGUGGGAACCUGCCCUUAGGUUCGGAAUAACUCCCCGAAAGGGGUGCUAAUACCGGAUAAUGUCUUCGGACCAAAGAUUUAUCGCCUUUGGAUGGGCCCGCGUUGGAUUAGCUGGUUGGUAGGGUAAUAGCCUACCAAGGCGACGAUCCAUAGCUGGUCUGAGAGGAUGAUCAGCCACACUGGGACUGAGACACGGCCCAGACUCCUACGGGAGGCAGCAGUGGGGAAUAUUGGACAAUGGGCGAAAGCCUGAUCCAGCAAUGCCGCGUGAGUGAUGAAGGCCUUAGGGUUGUAAAGCUCUUUUACCCGGGAUGAUAAUGACAGUACCGGGAGAAUAAGCUCCGGCUAACUCCGUG